AUUGAACGCUGGCGGCAGGCCUAACACAUGCAAGUCGAGCGAGCGGCGGACGGGUGAGGCAUGCCUGGGAAUUGCCCAGUAGAGGGGGAUAACAGUUGGAAACGACUGCUAAUACCGCAUAAGAUUGGAUUUCCCAGGUGGGCUGAGCUCGUUGGUGAGGUAAUGGCUCACCACGGCGACGAUCCCUCGCUGGUCUGAGAGGAUGACCAGCCACAUUGGAACUGCGAAACGGUCCAGACUCCUACGGGAGGCAGCAGUGGGGAAUAUUGCACAAUGGGCGAAACCCUGAUGCAGCCAUGCCGCGUGUGUGAAGAAGGUCUUCGGGUUGUAAAGCACUUUCAUCGAGGAGUCGUUACGCGCAGAAGAAGCACCGGCUAACUCCGUGCCAGCCGCCGCGGUAAUUC
rnacentral:rRNA from 1 species